rnacentral:rRNA from 1 species
GUGGAUUAGAUACCCUAGUAGUCCACGCUGUAAACGAUGAUUACUAAGUGUUGGAGCAAUUCAGUGCUGCAGUUAACGCAAUAAGUAAUCCGCCUGGGGAGUAUGCACGCAAGUGUGAAACUCAAAGGAAUUGACGGGGGCCCGCACAAGCGGUGGAGUAUGUGGUUUAAUUCGAAGCAACGCGAAGAACCUUACCAAGUCUUGACAUACCGCGCAAGGCCCUGGAGACAGGGAGAUAGUUAUGGCGGAUACAGGUGGUGCACGGUCGUCGUCAACU